rnacentral:rRNA from 1 species
GACGAACGCUGGCGGCGUGCCUAAUACAUGCCAGUAGAACGCUGAAGAGAGGAGCUUGCUCUUCUUGGAUGAGUUGCGAACGGGUGAGUAACGCGUAGGUAACCUGCCUUGUAGCGGGGGAUAACUAUUGGAAACGAUAGCUAAUACCGCAUAACAAUGGAUGACACAUGUCAUUUAUUUGAAAGGGGCAAUUGCUCCACUACAAGAUGGACCUGCGUUGUAUUAGCUAGUAGGUGAGGUAAUGGCUCACCUAGGCGACGAUACAUAGCCGACCUGAGAGGGCUCACGGGCGGAGGGGUCGCGAGACACGGCCACGACUCCGAGGGGAGGCAGUAGUAGGUAAUCUUGGGAAGGGGGGGCACCCCUGACCGAGCAACGCUGGUGGGGUAAAGGAGUGUUUCGGAUAGUAAAUCUGUGUUGUACGUCAAGAAGGGGUGGGAGGGUGAAAAUUUCACACGUUGACGGUAGCUUCCCAGAAAGUGACGGCUAAAUACGUGCCAGCAGCCGCGUAAUAACGAAAGACACACUUCUGAAC